rnacentral:rRNA from 1 species
GAUGAACGCUGGCUACAGGCUUAACACAUGCAAGUCGCGGGGCAGCAUGGGGGUUGCUUGCAACCGCUGAAGGCGACCGGCGCACGGGUGAGUAACGCGUAGCCAACCUGCGGGUCACUACGGGAUAACCCGGCGAAGGUCGGCCGAAGACAGAAUGUUGUCCAUUGACGGCGCCCGAGUUGGACGAAAGGGUUGGUGGUGGAAGGAGGGGGAUGCGGCCGAUUAGCUUGACGGCGGGGUAACGGCGAGCCGUGGCUACGAUCGGUAGGCGUGCUGAGCGGAAGGUCCCACACCCUGGAACUGCGACACCGUCCAGACUACUACGGGAGGCAGCAGUGUGGUAUAUUGGUCAACGGGCGUAAGCCUGACCCAGCCAAGUAGCGUGCAGGAUGACCGCCCUAUGGGUUGUAAACUGCUUUUAUGCGGGGAUAAAGUGGCCCCCGUGUAGGCUUUUGCCGGUACCCGAUGAAUAAGGACCGGCUAAUUCCGUG